CACACAUGACGUCACUGGCUUUCGGGUGAAAACAACAAGCUUCGCACCGCAUGAGCCAUUUUACUUCACCGCGAGAUAGAAAUCGAAGACGUUGGCUUCUCAGAAAGACGUUCUGUUUCAUGAAAGUGUCCUCAAUUUGGACUUUGUUUUUGGAAUAAGCACACACUUAUUUAACAGUUGUUGAAUUUCAAAUAGUUUACGUUUUGAAUACGCUCGCUCAAAGAGUAACGUUCCGCGUGAUAUAGAGCCAUCUUACAGUUGGACCAAAUUCCUUUUGAAGGUUUGAUCAUGAAGGAGGAGGCCAGCCCUGGACGUCUCGGUGAGGGUGUGAAGCUCAUCUUUGAUCAGAAGGCUAGGUCCGGUCACAGCUCCUCUCGUUCUCACAGCAGCAGCAGCAGCGACGGCUCGUACUCCAGCAGCAGAGGAAGCCGCUCCUCCCGCAGGUCACCGAGCUCUUCACGGAGCUCAUCCUCUGACAGUUGCUCUUCCUCACGCUCUCGUUCACGUUCCCGCUCUCGUCCACGCUGCUCGGGCCGCUCACGCUGCCGUCACAGACACCAUUCUCCUCCUCGCCGCUACCGGGCUCGCUCCCGCUCAUACAGUCCUUCUCCUGAGCGUUCCUCCCACCGCAGACGCUACCAUCGCCACAGUCGCUCUCCAUCCCCCUACAGCUACUCUAGACGCUACAGGCGUUCUCCGUCCCGAUCUCGCUCUCGCAGUCGCUCUCCAGUCCACAGGAGAGGAAGCAGGUUUGUGGGGAGGUACAGGUGCCGUUUCUCCCGCUCACCCAGGAGCUCCAGAGAUUACAGAAGCCGGUCUCACAGCCGUGAACGCUCUGCGGUCUGCCUCAGCCUUGAGGAGAAGAAAUAUCUGUUGAAUGUCGCCAAAGCAAAUGCGGCCAGGAUUUUGGGAGUGCAGAACUUAGAGCUGCCAGCUAGCCUGAAGGAGCUGGAGGAAGAGGACAAGAAAAGAUCUACAUCAGAUAAAGAGGAAAGGGUACCACAGAAGACCUCAGCACAGGUGAGCCUCACACAUGACUACAGACGUGUUACUAACACACACCCAGUGUGUUUAGAUAUCUCUAAUGUUGCAUGAACGUCCUGAAUGGUUGACCGUAUUCUGAUUUGUACUUCAAGUUAUAUCUGUGAUCUCGGGACGUUGACUAACCCAUUGAAACGGGUUUAUUUAAAAUGUGAUUGCGUGCUGUACUUACCCAACCUGGGUGACCAUGUAAUCUGUCUCCUCAGACAUGAAUGAUUUUACCUGAUGGAUUUAAUGGAAUGAUGAACAGCACUUGUCCGGAUUAGAACUUAAACUCCUCCACCCUUUGGACAAAGAGGGAGAGAGGGGGAGGUCACAUGACUUGAAUGACACCAGCUUUCAGUCUUAUGUGCACAACUGCAAAGGUUAAGUAAUUGUGUACAAUGUCAGCGGUAGCCUUGUCGAACAAAAACAGACCACAUGCAUUAGUCUGAUUCAUCUCACAACACUUUCAGCAUCACACAACAAAACAUGCAGAAAGGUUUGGGGUCAGUAGGUUUUUUUUUAAGAAAUCAAUACUUUUAUCAAGGACAUAUUGUAUUUAUCAAAAGUGAAAGUAAAGACAUUUAUAACGUUGAAAAAUGCAGUUCUUUUUAACUUUCUAUUCAAAUAAUCUUCAAAAAAUUGAUCAUAGUUUCCACAAAAAUAUUAUGCAACAGUUUCAACACUGAUAAUACAUUCUUGUUGAGCAGCAAAUCAGUAUAUUAGAAUGAUUUCUGAAGGAUCAUGUGACACUGAAAACUGGAGUAAUGAUGCUGAAAAUUCAGCUUUGCAUCACAGCAAUAAAUUAAAUUUAUAAUGUAUUCUAGUAGAAAACAGUUAAGUUGUAAUAUUUCACAGUAUUACUGUUUUUGAUAAAA